rnacentral:tRNA from 1 species
GGGGCAUUAGCUCAGCUGGGAGAGCGCAUGGCUGGCAGCCAUGAGGUCAGGGGUUCGAACCCCCUAUGCUCCACCA